rnacentral:rRNA from 1 species
GAUCAUGGCUCAGGACGAACGCUAGCUACAGGCUUAACACAUGCAAGUCGAGGGGCAGCAUCAUCAAAGCUUGCUUUGAUGGAUGGCGACCGGCGCACGGGUGAGUAACACGUAUCCAACCUGCCGACAACACUGGGAUAGCCUUUCGAAGAAAGAUUAAUACCGGAUGGCAUAGUUUUCCCGCAUGGGGAUAAAUUUAUUAAAAGAAUUUUCGGUUGUCGAUGGGGAUGCGUUCCAUUAGG